rnacentral:rRNA from 1 species
UACGAAGGGGGCUAGCGUUGCUCGGAAUCACUGGGCGUAAAGCGCACGUAGGCGGCUUUUUAAGUCGGUGGUGAAAUCCUGGAGCUCAACUCCAGAACUGCCUUUGAUACUGGCGAGCUUGAGUUCGGGAGAGGUGAGUGGAACUGCGAGUGUAGAGGUGAAAUUCGUAGAUAUUCGCAAGAACACCAGUGGCGAAGGCGGCUCACUGGCCCGAUACUGACGCUGAGGUGCGAAAGCGUGGGGAGCAAACAGG